UUUUACGAAGGCAAAUAAGGUUACUGAUUUAAAAGUGUAAAAGAGUAAGCAGAAUUUUCUUUGGUUAAAAGAUAAAAAACUUGGCUCUGAUUUUAGGUAUGGCAUGCACUAAAGGAUACACAUGGUUUUUUUAGAGGGAGGUGAGGUGGAUGACUAGUUAUCAGGGCUGGUAAAAGACUGUAAUGAUAUGGUUUUCUUGGGUGUUAUAGUAGACAUAAUAUCCUGAAAUGCCCACUAACACCAGUGUUGAAGAUUAAGUGAAAGGCGAAAGCUUGUAUUAGUUUAGUGUAUAAAAUUUGGUUAAUUUGGUGCCAGCAUCCGCGGUUAAACCAAGAAAUUUAGUCAUUCUUUUACGGUAAAAAGAUAGUUAGGCAAGCAACAUGAAGGACCACUGGAUCUUUAGUGGAGGAGUAAAAUCUAGACACUAAAAGUUAUACCGGACGUGGUUUAAUUUUCGGUGCUGAAUCUGUGAUAGCUUUAAGGGAAACUGGGAUUGGAUACCCCAUUAUUUAUAGUUGUAAAUUUAGUUUGAGCUUACCAGAGUACUACGAAUAAAUAGUUUAAAACUCAAAGGGCUUGGCGGUGUUUUAGACCUCUCAGGGGAACCUGUCUCGUAAUCGACAAUCCACGUUAGACCUAACCUUUUAUGGCGAAACAGCCUGUAUACCGUCGUCGUCAGGUAACUUCUUAAAAUAUAGUAGUUAGCUCGAGAAUUUUAUUAAUUAAGACGUCAGAUCAAGGUGCAGCCAAUGAAAAGGUGAGGAUGGGUUACAAUUACAUAUUUGUAAAUACGGAAAACGUUUGAAACUAAGUGUUUUAAAGGAGGACUUGAAAGUAAUUUUAGUUAUAUAAAUAGAAUGAAUAAGGCUCUGAAACGUGCACACAUCGCCCGUCGCUCUCGUUGAAAAAUGAGAUAAGUCGUAACAUAGUAGGGGUAAUGGAAAUUGUUCCUAGGCUG
rnacentral:ncRNA from 1 species